UCCUAUCGAAAAGACAAUAGAAAAGAGAAUAGUGGGCAGAGGAAGUGGAGUAGCUCUGUUGGUGAUGAAUGAAAUUCAGUCCCUUGCAAGGGGUGACAUUGAAACAGGAGAUAUGGAGUCAGCAUGGAUAGAACUAAGGAAUUGUAAGGGUAAAAAUUCCCUAAUUGGACUUAUCUACAGGUCCCCAAACAGUAGCCUGGAUAUAGGGUGCAAGUUGAAUCAAGAAUUUAAAUUGGCAUGUAGUAAAUGUAA